UACAGAGGUCUCAAGCGUUGUUCGGAUUCAUUGGGCGUAAAGGGCGCGUAGGCUGCGGGGUAAGUCGGGUGUGAAAUCUCAGGGCUCAACCCUGAAACUGCACUCGAUACUGCUCUGCUUGAGGACUGGAGAGGAGACUGGAAUUCACGGUGUAGCAGUGAAAUGCGUAGAUAUCGUGAGGAAGACCAGUGGCGAAGGCGGGUCUCUGGACAGUUCCUGAGCGCUGAGGCGCGAAAGCUAGGGUAGCAAACGGG
rnacentral:rRNA from 1 species